rnacentral:lncRNA from 1 species
CUGACUCUGGAGAGAUGUUUGUGUCCAGGUGAUGCUGUCCAGUGAGAGGGGGUUGCAGUCAGAGUGAGGCUGACCGGAGGCCUCUGUCCAGUUGGUGCCCUGUGGAAUGUGAUUACAUACUGGUUGACACCAUCCUGAGGACCAUCACCAGCUGAGUGUCUCAGCCGCCCUGUGUCCCUGGGUUCUGUGCUCUUGUGUGUGGUUUGACACUAUUCCAGUGCGUGGAGACCCUGCCUCCUCACUGAGACCUUGCAAGAAAAAGAACCUGCAGUCACCCCAAGGAAGAGGAGUCUCGGCUGUUCCCUGGAGGCUGACCCAGCCCUGGCCCAAAGGCUGACCCAGACCCAAGGCCCAAAGGCCCACCCAGACCCAAGGCCCAAAGGCCCAGCUCUAAGGUCCAAAGGGGCUCCACCCUGUUCUCUAGCCGGACUCAGUCUCUGGCAAGGACCCCGGCUGCCAGCUGCACUCCCUAGACGCACGUGGCCCACCCCCUCCUUCCAGUACCGGAGCCCUAACUGGCGGCACCCGGGCACCCUUUUGACUCAGAGCCACGCUCCACGAGGGGGACCGAUCUGCUCACUUGCCCCGUCCUGGGGGUACCAGAGUAGCCAGCGCGACGCCUUCCGCACCUCGCCUAGGCUGCCCUUGUGCGGCCGCCCUCAGUCCCCGCCACCUUGCGGGGCCCCAGGCGGCACUGGCAUCUUCUUGUGGUUCUUCCUGGCCGGGGCUCGGUGCGCUCCGCAUUCUGCUGGGCCGUCCGGGGCGUCGUCUGCGGGCCUGGAGGCGGCGACCAGGGCGCUCACGGUGCCGAGCGUCCGCGGCAGG